rnacentral:rRNA from 1 species
AGGAUCAUUAUCAUGUAAAUUCAGUCAUGCUUGCUGCGUGAGCUGCAAUAAACCCACACUGCGUACACCUUUCCUGUUGCUUCCGCCGGGUCCGGACGAGAGAUCCGUGCCCGGCGGAAAAUAACCUCCAAGUCAUACCAUAGAAUCAGUCUGAGCAAACAAAGAAACCAAAUGAAAUGUUAAAACUUUCAGCAACGGAUCUCUUGGUUCUCGCAUCGAUGAAGAACGCAGCGAAAUGCGAUAAGUAGUGUGAAUUGCAGAAUUCAGUGAAUCAUCGAAUCUUUGAACGCACAUUGCGCCUCCCGGUACUCCGGGAGGCAUGCCUGUUCGAGAGUCAUUGACAACCACAUCGAAUCCCCCCGUUUUUGGGGGGAGAUCGGUUCUGGGGGAAGAGGGGGUGAGCUGCCUCGCUACGCUUGGCAAAUCCCCUCCCCUCCGAAAUUCAUAUGCGGUCUGUGCCAAACCCACAUGUUUAUAUGGGCGCGUUGUAGAGGAGGCCCCUCACGAAUUUGGAGGAGCCACUUUUCGCGUGUGUAUGAUAAUGCUGGUUGGGUUUUUUCGGGACCCCCCCAGACCAGCCAGGAAUAAAAAUCCCCAGCGGCUUUUUGUUACUAAAUCAAUGGUUGACCUCGGAUCAGGUAGGGAUACCCGCUGAACUUAAGCAUAUCAAUAAGCGGAGGAAAAGAAACCAACCGGGAUUGCCUCAGUAACUGCGAGUGAAGUGGCAAAAGCUCAAAUUUGAAAUCCGGUACCUUUGGUGCCUGACUUGUAAUUUGGAGAGACAAAUUUGGUUGGCAGCGCUGGCCUAGGUUCCUUUGAACAGGACAACACAGAGGGUGAGAAUCCCGUGCAUGGCCGGAGUUGCUGUCACAUUGCUAGAUUGUCUUCGACGAGUCGAGUUGUUUGGGAAUGCAGCUCAAAAUGGGUGGUAAAUGUCAUCUAAAGCUAAAUAUUGGCGAGAGACCGAUAGCGCACAAGUAGAGUGAUCGAAAGAUGAAAAGCACUUUGAAAAGAGAGUCAAAAAGUACGUGAAAUUGCUGAAAGGGAAGCGCUUGAGACCAGACUCGAACCGUGGUGAUCAGCCCUGCUUCUGUGCGGCGUUACUUGCCAUGGUUUGGGCCAGCAUCGGUUCCGGCGGUCGGAUAAAAGGUGGAGGAAUGUAGCUUCCUCCGGGGAGUGUUAAUUUAGCCACCACCACAAUGCGGCCAGCCGGGACCGAGGAUCGCGCUCCACG